rnacentral:rRNA from 1 species
UACGUAGGGUGCGAGCGUUAAUCGGAAUUACUGGGCGUAAAGCGUGCGCAGGCGGUUUGUUAAGACAGAUGUGAAAGCCCCGGGCUCAACCUGGGAACUGCGUUUGGUACUGGCAAGCUAGAGUACGGCAGAGGGGGGUGGAAUUCCACGUGUAGCAGUGAAAUGCGUAGAGAUGUGGAGGAACACCGAUGGCGAAGGCAGCCCCCUGGGCCGAUACUGACGCUCAGGCACGAAAGCGUGGGGAGCAAACAGG